UUAAUGGACGAAACCACGGGUUAAGGCUUCAAUAGUUCAAUUCACCAUGAAGAAGACUGAUUCACUGAACAUCAUCUUCAAUUCUUCAUCAUCGAUGUUGCCUUGUGUGCGUGACCACCUUCAACGAAUCAACUCCAUGGAAAUCGAGCAACAAUUCGCUUAACCAGGCACUCUCUAGGUGGAAGUUUAUCGUUACUAGGGCCUCAAACAAGUGAAGAACACUGAACAAUGGGUGAAGAAUACUAAACAACGGCAUUAAGGACGAGAAGAGGAAAAUGGUUGCUUCCGCUUUCGGUGAAGAUCAAAGCGGAACAUCAACCGCUCCUUUAACAGCUGAAGAUCUCAGAUAUUUGUUUAUGGGGGCACAUUGAGACUUUUUAGUUAGGUGAUUAGUUUGGGCAUUUUUGUUUAGAUUAUGUGCAAAGCCCUGUAAAUAGUGGUAGUUACUUUUAUUGUUUGUAGAGAAGACUAGUUUUGAUUGUUUAAUUUAAACUAGAGAUAGCAGUGAGUCUACUUUUGGUAAUUCUAGUCCUAUACCCGAUCGUAAAACUGUGUACUAUACCCGGGUUAAAUUUUUUUUAGUAA